UAUCAAACUUCUUGCACGCAAACUUUCACACUUGGAUCCGUUGACGCUGAAAGUGCCGCUCAAAGAUGUUGUCUGCUAUUUAUCAUUGCUGGAAGCUGGACGACCGGAAGAUAAGCUCGAAUUCAUGUUUCGAUUGUACGAUACCGAUGGCAAUGGCGUCCUGGAUACCGCCGAAAUGGAUGCGAUUGUUAAUCAAAUGAUGGCUGUUGCCGAAUAUCUUGGCUGGGAUGUUAGCGAAUUGCGACCGGUAAGUAAAAGUUGAUUUAAC